rnacentral:misc_RNA from 1 species
UUGAUUCGUUGCUUAUAGCUCAGACAACACCGUUAAACAGGAGUUUUGAUGUAUCCUCCGGCGGGCGAACCCACCGAGGCAACAUUGGUCAAUUCUCAAGGGUUUAGAAGUUCGCGGUUUGACCCGCGUUUACUUUCUAUAAUGAUCCUUCCGCAGGUUCACCUACGGAAA